GUAAGGAAUAUUGGACAAUGGACGCAAGUCUGAUCCAGCCAUGCCGCGUGAAGGAUUAAGGUCCUCUGGAUUGUAAACUUCUUUUAUAAGGGACGAAAAAAGGCUUUUCUAAGUCGUCUGACGGUACCUUAUGAAUAAGCACCGGCUAACUCCGUGCCAGCAGCCGCGGUAAUACGGAGGGUGCAAGCGUUAUCCGGAUUCACUGGGUUUAAAGGGUGCGUAGGCGGGCAGGUAAGUCAGUGGUGAAAUCCUAGAGCUUAACUCUAGAACUGCCAGUGAUACUAUCUGUCUUGAAUAUUGUGGAGGUAAGCGGAAUAUGUCAUGUAGCGGUGAAAUGCUUAGAUAUGACAUAGAACACCUAUUGCGAAGGCAGCUUACUACGCAUAUAUUGACGCUGAGGCACGAAAGCGUGGGGAUCAAACAGGAUUAGAAACCCGUGUAGUCC
rnacentral:rRNA from 1 species